rnacentral:rRNA from 1 species
CCUACGGGUGACAGCAGUAGGGAAUCUUCCACAAUGGACGAAAGUCUGAUGGAGCAACGCCGCGUGGGUGAGGAAGGUUUUCGGCUCGUAAAGCUCUGUUGGUAGAGAGGAAAGAUAGAGGUAGUAACUGGCCUUUAUUUGACGGUAAUUCCUUAGAAAGUACCGGCUAACUACGUGCCAGCAGCCGCGGUAAUACGGAGGUGGCAAGCGUUGUCCGGAUUUAUUGGGCGGAAAGGGAGUGCAGGCGGUUCAAUAAGUCUGAUGUGAAAGCCUUCGGCUCAACCGGAGAAUUGCAUCAGAAACUGUUGAACUUGAGUGCAGAAGAGGAGAGUGGAACUCCAUGUGUAGCGGUGGAAUGCGUAGAGAUAUGGAAGAACACCAGUGGCGAAGGCGGCUCUCUGGUCUGCAACUGACGCUGAGGCUCGAAAGCAUGGGUAGCGAACAGGAUUAGAUACCCGUGUAGUC